UACGGAGGGAGCAAGCGUUGUUCGGAAUUACUGGGCGUAAAGGGCGCGUAGGCGGCCUGCUAAGUCGGACGUGAAAUCCCUCGGCUCAACCGAGGAACUGCGUCCGAUACUGGUGGGCUUGAAUCCGGGAGAGGGAUGUGGAAUUCCAGGUGUAGCGGUGAAAUGCGUAGAUAUCCGGAGGAACACCGAUGGCGAAGGCAGCUGCCUGGCCUAGAACUGACGCUGAGGUGCGAAAGCGUGGGGAGCGAACGGG
rnacentral:rRNA from 1 species